rnacentral:rRNA from 1 species
ACCCAGACUCCUACGGGAGGCAGCAGUGGGGAAUAUUGCACAAUGGGGGAAACCCUGAUGCGGCGACGCCGCGUGAGCGAUGAAGUAUUUCGGUAUGUAAAGCUCUAUCAGCAGGGAAGAAAAUGACGGUACCUGACUAAGAAGCCCCGGCUAACUACGUGCCAGCAGCCGCGGUAAUACGUAGGGGGCAAGCGUUAUCCGGAUUUACUGGGUGUAAAGGGAGCGUAGACGGCUGUGCAAGCCAGAUGUGAAAGCCCGGGGCUCAACCCCGGGACUGCAUUUGGAACUGCGUGGCUGGAGUGUCGGAGAGGCAGGCGGAAUUCCUAGUGUAGCAGUGAAAUGCGUAGAUAUUAGGAGGAACACCAGUGGCGAAGGCGGCCUGCUGGACGAUGACUGACGUUGAGGCUCGAAAGCGUGGGGAGCAAACAGGAUUAGAUACCCCAGUA